UCUGUGCGUACGCACAUGCGUACAGACACUCUCAUGCACGCCCUCUGCUCACAACGUUCGCACCCCCAAUUCAUCCUCUUCUGCUGGGAGCACCAGCACUGUUGGUGCGUCCGCAUCCCCCUACUCUUCCUUCCCUUCUCUUUUCCUAUUCCCCAACGUUCAUCCCUCUCCUCUCAUUCUCUGUUCCAACAUCCACCACCACCAUCACCCAUCAACGUCCAUCACCACAACCUCCGCCGGCAACCGCCAGCGACCGCCGCGCCCUUUCCCUUCUCUUCUUCCACUCUCCCUCUCUCGGCCUCACCACCGCGUCCUCUCUGUCCUCCCCGCUUGUCUCCUCUUCGCGGUACCCUAGCGCCGCCCAGAACCACCGAGCCUGCGCGGACCGGCAUAGCCACCGUAGCCUCCACCAUCGACGAGCCACGGUGACCCAACCCUCUUCUCCUUCCUCCGCGAAUCACCGCCCAGCGCCGCCAGCCACACUAAUUGCUGAGCCCAGAACCCACCGCGUGCUCUCUGUCCUCCUCACCGUCGUCCAACAUCUCUCGGCAGCCUCCUUCUUCUCCCUCUAUCCUUCCCGUCGCUGUCAGGUCCAGAGACCACAAGGUCCUCUUCUUCGCGACCCCCUUCUGACACAACCCUUGUCUCUCUCGUUCCUUCUGGGUUGAAGAACAGAGCAAGUUCAAGCUCCUGUUCUCUUCGUCUGAGGUGAGUUCCAGCUAUUGCGACGACACCACCCCUGUUCCACCAAGCCCAGAACUCCUCUCCCCUGUUUCUUUGCUGCGUCAACUCUCCGCCGCUGCUAUUGAAGCAGCGCCACCACCAGGCCAGCUGGGUUGCUCUGGCCGUUCACUCACCAUCAUCCACCAUCUUCUAUCCCUACCCUUCCUCUGUCCAAUUCUGCUUCCCAGUUUUCAGCUUCUGUUCACUUGAGGAGGAGGAAGACCAGCAUCAUGAGCCGGAGGAGGCCCGAGACCCACCAGCAGACGGAAGAGCCGAUGAUAGCGGCGACUCCUUCCACUCCGCAUGAUCGUAAGCACUGAGGACGGUGCUACAUUUUAAGUGUGGGGAGGUUGUCCAACGUCAGCAGCGCAUUUUGGGUAUGGUUCAUGGAGAGUUUGCUUCACCUAUGCCACAUGGUUUGGGAUAAAUGAGUUGAUUGCUUCUGGAAAGAGUUAUAGUGAUUCCCCAGCCAUUCAUAAAGCUUGUGAAUUUUUGCUGUCUAAGCAGCUUUCAAAUGGUUGCUAGAGAGAGGGUUAUUUGUCUUGUCAAAACAAGGUGUAUUCAAAUCUUGAAAACAACAGGGCUCAUCUUGUAAACACAUCGUGGGCCUUGCUGGCUCUCAUUGCUGCUGGACAGAUGGAGAGUUUCUGUGCCACACAUUCCAGUACUUAGUUACUCGCGACGACUACUCAGCCAUUGCCAAUGGGACUUUUUUCCAACUUGGUCACAGCAGAGUGGCUGCAGAACACUAACAGCUAUUCACAAGAUGCUAUUCUGGCCGGUGGAAAGGUUAAUGUGACAGUUAAACUGUUCUUGUGGAGACAGUAAUAUUAGCAAAGAUUAUGGAUUGUUCAUCACAUACCCUCUUAAGCCUGAGGAUUCUUUGCAGUCAAUUGCAAACCAGACAAAGCUUGAUCCUGAGUUGUUGAUGAAAUACAACCCCGGUGUAAAUUUCAGAUAAGGGAGUGGUCUGGUUUAUAUUCCCGGCAGAGAUGAAAACGGCAACUAUGCGCCUCUUCACCGAAGCUCUGGAGGUUUGUCCAUUCUCAAUCAAAAGAAAGUAGUCUUAUUGAUAAUUGUUUACACUCGAAUUUGAUAUCAAUACCCAAUCCAGGGUAAGGAUAUCCUAAAAGAAAAAUGUAAUAGUACUACUUUCUGCUCAAUUUUGUUCUUGUAGAACAGGUUUACCAGGUAAGGUUGUUGCUGGAAUAUCUGUUGGAGUUGUAGCAGUACUUCUGUUAUUAGCAUUUUGUGUUUGUAUUAAAUGUUGCGGAAGGAAGAAGAAAAAACUGAGAACAGAAUAUUUCGGUCGGAACACUACUCGAGCUAGGGAAGAUAAAGCCUCAGAUAGCUUUGUAAACACAAGUAUAGAAAAAUCAGCAGAGUUUUCAUAUGAAGAACUGGCCCAUGCCACAAGUAACUUCAAUUUGGCUAACAAAAUUGGUCAAGGUGGUUUUGGAGAAAUCUAUUAUGCAGAGCUGAAUGGCAAGAAAGCUGCAAUAAAGAAGAUGGACAUGAAAGCAUCAAAAUAAUUUCUCGCAGAACUAUGAUCAAUGGUGGUGCUGAAAUCAAGGGACUUGUAGCUUUGUUUCAUCAAGUUUUUGAUCAACCAGAUCCUAAAGGUCUUAAAGAACUGGUGGAUCCUAGGCUUGGAGAUAAUUACUCAAUUGAUUCAGUUUUCAAGGCUUAUAAGGCAAGUAUGGAUUGAAGAAGUGGAAGGAAAGCAUGCAAAAUGGGAGAAUUCAAGAAAUGAAGGAUUUGUAAAGCUGCCAGCCCUGACAUCUCGAUACUAAAAUGAUCAUAACUUGAGCUACAGAGGUCCAAAUGAGGCGGUUUCAGCGGCAUUGGAAAGCUAACGUCCGGGGUUUCGAAAUGAUAUAUAAUUUGCUACAGUGGACUAAGUUGAAGUGUGCGUACGCAUACAAUUUGUGCACACGCAUAGGUCAGAAAAUAGCAAGUGAGCUCAUUAACUGAUAUAUAAUUUGCUACAGUGCACACAAUUUGUGUGCGUCCGCACAGGUCCUGGCACGUGAGCUCAUUAACUGAAAAUCGCUGGGGGCGAUUUCUGGGCCCCAAAAACGAACCCAACUCAUUUCUGAAGUUAUUUCAAGCCAAAUUGAAGCGGAAUGAAGGGGGGAGCACUUAGGUUUAGGUUUUUACAUGUUUUUGUUAGUUUUUCUAGAGAUAGAAGCUCCCCCUUCUUUCUAGAAUUAGGAUUUUUAUCUUUAUUCUCUCUUUAAUUCUUGUUUAAUUGUAGUUUCAUUUACAUUUUCUUGUUCUAUUGCCUUUACUCUCUUUGUUUCCUUUGUUAAUUUCUCUUUUAUGCUCAUUUUAGU